GAGUUUGAUCCUGGCUCAGAACGAACGCUGGCGGCAUGCCUAACACAUGCAAGUCGAACGAAGGCUUCGGCCUUAGUGGCGCACGGGUGCGUAACGCGUGGGAAUCUGCCCUUUGCUUCGGAAUAACAGUGGGAAACUACUGCUAAUACCGGAUGAUGUCUUCGGACCAAAGAUUUAUCGGCAAGGGAUGAGCCCGCGUAGGAUUAGGUAGUUGGUGGGGUAAAGGCCUACCAAGCCGACGAUCCUUAGCUGGUCUGAGAGGAUGAUCAGCCACACUGGGACUGAGACACGGCCCAGACUCCUACGGGAGGCAGCAGUGGGGAAUAUUGGACAAUGGGGGAACCCUGAUCCAGCAAUGCCGCGUGAGUGAUGAAGGCCUUAGGGUUGUAAAGCUCUUUUACCUAGGGAUGAUAAUGACAGUACCUGGAGAAUAAGCUCCGGCUAACUCCGUGCCAGCCGCCGCCGUAAU
rnacentral:rRNA from 1 species